UUGCUGUGAUGAUGGAUCUUAGGACACCUUUGGAUUAACCAUGAAAUAAAACACGUUCUGAGCAAC
ensembl:snoRNA SNORD58 Small nucleolar RNA SNORD58